rnacentral:rRNA from 1 species
ACAGGUGCUGCAUGGCUGUCGUCAGCUCGUGUCGUGAGAUGUUGGGUUAAGUCCGCAACGAGCGCAACCCUUACUUUUAGUUGCCACCAUUUAGUUGAGCACUCUGAAAGAACUGCCAGUGAUAAGCUGGAGGAAGGUGGGGAUGACGUCAAGUCCUCAUGGCCCUUACGUGUUGGGCUACACACGUGCUACAAUGGCACUCACAAUAGGAAGCAAAGAGGCGACUCUAAGCAAAUCCUAAAAAAGUGCCUCAGUUCGGAUUGUACUCUGCAACUCGAGUACAUGAAGCUGGAAUUACUAGUAAUCGCGGAUCAGCGC